UACGGAGGGGGCUAGCGUUGUUCGGAAUUACUGGGCGUAAAGCGUACGUAGGCGGCUUUGUAAGUUAGAGGUGAAAGCCCGGAGCUCAACUCCGGAACUGCAUCCGAUACUGCCGUGCUUGAGGACUGGAGAGGAGACUGGAAUUCAUGGUGUAGCAGUGAAAUGCGUAGAGAUCAUGAGGAAGACCAGUGGCGAAGGCGGGUCUCUGGACAGUUCCUGACGCUGAGGCACGAAGGUCAGGGGAGCAAACGGG
rnacentral:rRNA from 1 species